rnacentral:rRNA from 1 species
UUUCAGCAACGGAUCUCUUGGCUCUGCAUCGAUGAAGAACGCAGCGAAAGUCGAUAAGUAAUGUGAAUUGCAGAAUUCAGUGAAUCAUCGAAUCUUUGAACGCACCUUGCGCCCCUUGGUAUUCCGAGGGGCAUGCCU